GACGAACGCUGGCGGCGUGCCUAACACAUGCAAGUCGAACGAGAAUCUUUGAACAGAUCUUUUCGGAGUGACGUUCAAAGAGGAAAGUGGCGGACGGGCGAGUAACGCGUGAGUAACCUGCCCAUAAGAGGGGGAUAAUCCAUGGAAACGUGGACUAAUACCGCGUAUUGUAGUUAAGUUGCAUGACUUGAUUAUGAAAGAUUUAUCGCUUAUGGAUGGACUCGCGUCAGAUUAGAUAGUUGGUGAGGUAACGGCUCACCAAGUCAACGAUCUGUAGCCGAACUGAGAGGUUGAUCGGCCGCAUUGGGACUGAGACACGGCCCAGACUCCUACGGGAGGCAGCAGUGGGGAAUAUUGCGCAAUGGGGGCAACCCUGACGCAGCAACGCCGCGUGCAGGAAGAAGGUCUUCGGAUUGUAAACUGUUGUCGCAAGGGAAGAAGACAGUGACGGUAC
rnacentral:rRNA from 1 species